rnacentral:rRNA from 1 species
AACGUAGGACGCGAGCGUUAUCCGGAGUUACUGGGCGUAAAGCGCGGGCAGGCGGUCUGACAAGUCUGAUGUGAAAUCUCCGGGCUUAACCGGGAGAGGCCAUUGGAGACUGACAGGCUGGAGGGCAGUAGAGGUAGGCGGAAUUCCGGGUGGAGUGGUGAAAUGCGUAGAGAUCCGGAGGAACACCAGAGGCGAAGGCGGCCUACUGGGCUGCACCUGACGCUGAGCCGCGAAAGCCAGGGGAGCGAACGGG